rnacentral:rRNA from 1 species
AUUGAACGCUGGCGGCAGGCCUAACACAUGCAAGUCGAACGGUAACAGGAAGCAGCUUGCUGCUUCGCUGACGAGUGGCGGACGGGUGAGUAAUGUCUGGGAAGCUGCCUGAUGGAGGGGGAUAACUACUGGAAACGGUAGCUAAUACCGCAUAAUGUCGCAAGACCAAAGAGGGGGACCUUCGGGCCUCUUGCCAUCGUAUGUGCCCAGAUGGGAUUAGCUUGUUGGUGGGGUAACGGCUCACCAAGGCGACGAUCCCUAGCUGGUCUGAGAGGAUGACCAGCCACACUGGAACUGAGACACGGUCCAGACUCCUACGGGAGGCAGCAGUGGGGAAUAUUGCACAAUGGGCGCAAGCCUGAUGCAGCCAUGCCGCGUGUAUGAAGAAGGCCUUCGGGUUGUAAAGUACUUUCAGCGGGGAGGAAGGGAGUAAAGUUAAUACCUUUGCUCAUUGACGUUACCCGCAGAAGAAGCACCGGCUAACUCCGUG